rnacentral:rRNA from 1 species
GACGAACGCUGGCGGCGUGCUUAACACAUGCAAGUCGAACGGUGAAGGGGUCUGCUUUUGUGGUCCCUGGAUGAGUGGCGAACGGGUGAGUAACACGUGAGUAACCUGCCCCCUUCUUCUGGAUACCCGCAUGAAAGUGUGGCUAAUACGGGAUAUUCUGGGUCUGUCGCAUGAUGUGUCUGGUAAAGGUUGCGCCUUUGGGUGUUUUUGGUGGUGGAUGGGCUCGCGGCCUAUCAGCUUGUUGGUGGGGUGAUGGCCUACCAAGGCGGUGACGGGUAGCCGGCCUGAGAGGGUGGACGGUCACACUGGGACUGAGACACGGCCCAGACUCCUACGGGAGGCAGCAGUGGGGAAUAUUGCAGAAUGGGCGCAAGCCUGAUGCAGCGACGCCGCGUGAGGGAUGGAGGCCUUCGGGUUGUAAACCUCUGUCGCCAGUGAAGCAGGCCUGCUCGUUGUGGGUGGGUUGACGGUAGCUGGAUAAGAAGCGCCGGCUAACUACGUG